CCAGCGCACACCGGUGACUUCAUCGGGGGCCUCAGCGGAGACGUGGUUUGCUCGACCCCAGAGGGCACAACGGUGCAACGCACUUAGACAGUGGAGAAGCAGCUGCGGACAACGGUGGGGAACGGGUCCCGUGGAUAGGGCGACGGUGCAGAACCGGACCCUUGGAUAAGAUACACCGAAGAUUCACAGCCUCUUCUUCUGGAUACCCCGGUCCACUCCCUGCAACCUGAUGACUCCGUUCUCAUGCGGACCUGGAAGGACGAGCCCCUCCAAGAGAAGUGGGAAGGGACCCCACAUCAUCCUGCUUGUUUCCCACACAGCGGCAAAGGUCAAAGGACACAAGAACUGGUUUCAUCACUCUCUACUGAAAGCAGUACCCGCUCCUGAACAGUGGACUGUCCAGCCUGCU